GUGCUCACUUUGGCAGCACAUAUACUAAAAUUGGAAUGACGGAGAUUAACAGGGCCCUGGUGCAAGGAUGACACACAAAUUCAUGAAGCGUUCCAUAUUUUU
ensembl:snRNA U6 U6 spliceosomal RNA